CCUCCUUUCUAAGGAAACCAAUAAAAUCAAUCAUCUUCAGUUUUGAAAGACUUAGGCAACUAAGUUUUUCUUCGUGACUUCACGAAGGGCCUAUAGCUCAGUUGGUUAGAGCACACGCCUGAUAAGCGUGAGGUCGGUGGUUCAAGUCCAUUUAGGCCCACCAGAGUUAUAGGUUUCGUAAGAACACAAAUUCUUUGAAAAUUAGGUAAAUAAUAGUAUUUAUCCGGAACAUUAAAGG
rnacentral:tRNA from 1 species